GACGAACGCUGGCGGCGUGCUUAACACAUGCAAGUCGAACGGAAAGGCCCUGCUUUUGUGGGGUGCUCGAGUGGCGAACGGGUGAGUAACACGUGAGUAACCUGCCCUUGACUUUGGGAUAACUUCAGGAAACUGGGGCUAAUACCGGAUAGGAGCUCCUGCUGCAUGGUGGGGGUUGGAAAGUUUCGGCGGUUGGGGAUGGACUCGCGGCUUAUCAGCUUGUUGGUGGGGUAGUGGCUUACCAAGGCUUUGACGGGUAGCCGGCCUGAGAGGGUGACCGGGCACAAUGGGACUGAGAUACGGCCCAGACUCCUACGGGAGGCAGCAGUGGGGAAUAUUGCACAAUGGGCGGAAGCCUGAUGCAGCAACGCCGCGUGCGGGAAGACGGCCUUUGGGUUGUAAACCGCUUUCGCCUGUGACGAAGCGUGAGUGACGGUAAUGGGUAAAGAAGCACCGGCUAACUACGUG
rnacentral:rRNA from 1 species